rnacentral:rRNA from 1 species
GUAGGUGGCAAGCGUUGUCCGGAAUUAUUGGGCGUAAAGCGCGCGCAGGCGGUCCUUUAAGUCUGAUGUGAAAGCCCACGGCUCAACCGUGGAGGGUCAUUGGAAACUGGGGGACUUGAGUACAGAAGAGGAAAGCGGAAUUCCACGUGUAGCGGUGAAAUGCGUAGAGAUGUGGAGGAACACCAGUGGCGAAGGCGGCUUUCUGGUCUGUAACUGACGCUGAGGCGCGAAAGCGUGGGGAGCAAACAGGGAUUAGAUACCCUGGUAGUCCACGCCGUAAACGAUGAGUGCUAAGUGUUAGGGGGUUUCCCGCCCCCUUAGUGCUGCAGCUAACGCAUUAAGCACUCCGCCUGGGGAGUACGGCCCGCAAGGCUG